GCCUACGGGGGGCAGCAGUGGGGAAUAUUGCACAAUGGGGGAAACCCUGAUGCAGCGACGCCGCGUGAGUGAAGAAGUAUCUCGGUACGUAAAGCUCUAUCAGCAGGGAAGAAAAAAAGUCUUUGGCUUUGGACGGUACCUGACUAAGAAGCCCCGGCUAACUACGUGCCAGCAGCCGCGGUAAUACGUAGGGGGCAAGCGUUAUCCGGAUUUACUGGGUGUAAAGGGAGCGUAGACGGCAGCGCAAGUCUGGAGUGAAAUGCCGGGGCUCAACCCCGGAACGGCUUUGGAAACUGUGAAGCUAG
rnacentral:rRNA from 1 species